UACGAAGGGGGCUAGCGUUGCUCGGAAUCACUGGGCGUAAAGGGUGCGUAGGCGGGUUUUUAAGUCAGGGGUGAAAUCCUGGAGCUCAACUCCAGAACUGCCUUUGAUACUGAAGAUCUUGAGUCCGGGAGAGGUGAGUUGAACUGCGAGUGUAGAGGUGAAAUUCGUAGAUAUUCGCAAGAACACCAGUGGCGAAGGCGGCUCACUGGCCCGGUACUGACGCUGAGGCACGAAAGCGUGGGGAGCAAACAGG
rnacentral:rRNA from 1 species